rnacentral:rRNA from 1 species
GUGGGGAAUAUUGGACAAUGGGCGAAAGCCUGAUCCAGCAAUGCCGCGUGAGUGAUGAAGGCCUUAGGGUUGUAAAGCUCUUUCACCGAUGAAGAUAAUGACGGUAGUCGGAGAAGAAGCCCCGGCUAACUUCGUGCCAGCAGCCGCGGUAAUACGAAGGGGGCUAGCGUUGUUCGGAUUUACUGGGCGUAAAGCGCACGUAGGCGGUUUGUUAAGUCAGGGGUGAAAUCCCGGAGCUCAACUCCGGAACUGCCUUUGAUACUGGCAAGCUAGAGUCCGGAAGAGGUAAGUGGAACUCCUAGUGUAGAGGUGGAAUUCGUAGAUAUUAGGAAGAACACCAGUGGCGAAGGCGGCUUACUGGUCCGGAACUGACGCUGAGGUGCGAAAGCGUGGGGAGCAAACAGGAUUAGAUACCCUAGUAGUCC